rnacentral:rRNA from 1 species
UACGGGGGGGGCAAGCGUUGUUCGGAAUUACUGGGCGUAAAGGGCUCGUAGGCGGCCAACUAAGUCAGACGUGAAAUCCCUCGGCUUAACCGGGGAACUGCGUCUGAUACUGGAUGGCUUGAGUUUGGGAGAGGGAUGCGGAAUUCCAGGUGUAGCGGUGAAAUGCGUAGAUAUCUGGAGGAACACCGGUGGCGAAGGCGGUUCUCUGGGCCUGUACUGACGCUGAGGAGCGAAAGCGUGGGGAGCGAACAGG